AGUGAACGCUGGCGGUAGGCCUAACACAUGCAAGUCGAACGGCAGCACAGUAAGAGCUUGCUCUUACGGGUGGCGAGUGGCGGACGGGUGAGGAAUACAUCGGAAUCUACUUUUUCGUGGGGGAUAACGUAGGGAAACUUACGCUAAUACCGCAUACGACCUACGGGUGAAAGCAGGGGAUCUUCGGACCUUGCGCGAUUGAAUGAGCCGAUGUCGGAUUAGCUAGUUGGCGGGGUAAAGGCCCACCAAGGCGACGAUCCGUAGCUGGUCUGAGAGGAUGAUCAGCCACACUGGAACUGAGACACGGUCCAGACUCCUACGGGAGGCAGCAGUGGGGAAUAUUGGACAAAGGGCGCAAGCCUGACCCAGCCAUACCGCGUGGGUGAAGAAGGCCUUCGGGUUGUAAAGCCCUUUUGUUGGGAAAGAAAAGCAGCAGGUGAAUACCCCGCUGUUCUGACGGUACCCAAAGAAUAAGCACCGGCUAACUUCGUG
rnacentral:rRNA from 1 species